rnacentral:rRNA from 1 species
AUACGAACUGCGCGAACGUUAUUCGGAAUCACGGGGCUUAAAGAGUUCGUAGGCGGUCUGAUUAGUCGGGUGUGAAAUCCCUCGGCCUAACCGAGGAACUGCGUCCGAUACUGCCAGACUAGAGGGAGACAGGGGUGAGCGGAACUGAUGGUGGAGCGGUGAAAUGCGUUGAUAUUAUCAGGAACACCGGUGGCGAAGGCGGCUCACUGGAUCUCUUCUGACGCUGAGGAACGAAAGCUAGGGGAGCGAACGGGAUUAGAUACCCCAGUAGUCC